UACGGAGGGUGCAAGCGUUGUUCGGAAUCAUUGGGCGUAAAGCGGGUGCAGGUGGCCUAGUAUGUCUGAUGUGAAAGCCCGGGGCUUAACCCCGGAAGUGCAUUGGAAACUGUUGGGCUAGAGUCCUGGAGAGGAUAGCGGAAUUCCUGGUGUAGAGGUGAAAUUCGUAGAUAUCAGGAGGAACACCGGUGGCGAAAGCGGCUAUCUGGACAGAGACUGACACUCAUACCCGAAAGCGUGGGGAGCAAACAGG
rnacentral:rRNA from 1 species